GCUUGCUCCUACUGGAUUAGUGGCGAACGGGUGAGUAACACGUGAGCAAUCUGCCCCUGACUCUGGGAUAACUCCGAGAAAUCGGUGCUAAUACCGGAUACGAACUGAGACCGCAUGGUCAUCAGUUGGAAAGAACUUCGGUCAGGGAUGAGCUCGCGGCCUAUCAGCUAGUUGGUGAGGUAAUGGCUCACCAAGGCGACGACGGGUAGCCGGCCUGAGAGGGUGACCGGCCACACUGGGACUGAGACACGGCCCAGACUCCUACGGGAGGCAGCAGUGGGGAAUAUUGCACAAUGGGCGCAAGCCUGAUGCAGCAACGCCGCGUGAGGGACGAAGGCCUUCGGGUUGUAAACCUCUUUUAGCAGGGAAGAAGCGAAAGUGACGGUACCUGCAGAAAAAGCACCGGCUAACUACGUGCCAGCAGCCGCGGUAAUACGUAGGGUGCAAGCGUUGUCCGGAAUUAUUGGGCGUAAAGAGCUCGUAGGCGGUUUGUCGCGUCUGCUGUGAAAAUCCGAGGCUCAACCUCGGACCUGCAGUGGGUACGGGCAAACUAGAGUGCGGUAGGGGAGAUUGGAAUUCCUGGUGUAGCGGUGGAAUGCGCAGAUAUCAGGAGGAACACCAAUGGCGAAGGCAGAUCUCUGGGCCGUAACUGACGCUGAGGAGCGAAAGCGUGGGGAGCGAACAGGAUUAGAUACCCUGG
rnacentral:rRNA from 1 species